GGCGGCCCGGGGAAGAAAACGGCCCAGACUCCUACGGGAGGCAGCAGUGGGGGAAUAUUGCACAAUGGGCGGAAGCCUGAUGCAGCGACGCCGCGUGAGGGAUGACGGCCUUCGGGUUGUAAACCUCUUUCAGCAGGGACGAAGCGUAAGUGACGGUACCUGCAGAAGAAGCGCCGGCCAACUACGUGCCAGCAGCCGCGGUAAGACGUAGGGCGCGAGCGUUGUCCGGAUUUAUUGGGCGUAAAGAGCUCGUAGGCGGCUUGUCGCGUCGACCGUGAAAACCUGGGGCUCAACCCCAGGCCUGCGGUCGAUACGGGCAGGCUAGAGUUCGGUAGGGGAGACUGGAAUUCCUGGUGUAGCGGUGAAAUGCGCAGAUAUCAGGAGGAACACCGGUGGCGAAGGCGGGUCUCUGGGCCGAUACUGACGCUGAGGAGCGAAAGCGUGGGGAGCGAACAGGAUUAGAUACCCUGGUAGUCCACGCUGUAAACGUUGGGCGCUAGGUGUGGGGGGCCUCUCCGGUUCCCUGUGCCGCAGCUAACGCAUUAAGCGCCCCGCCUGGGGAGUACGGCCGCAAGGCUAAAACUCAAAGGAAUUGACGGGGGCCCGCACAAGCGGCGGAGCAUGCGGAUUAAUUCGAUGCAUCGCGAAGAACCUUACCUGGGUUUGACAUGCCCGCAAAACUGUCAGAGAUGGCAGGUCCUUCGGGGGCGGUCACAGGUGCUGCAUGUCUGUCGUCAGCUCGUGUCGUGAGAUGUUGGGUUAAGUCCCGCAACGAGCGCAACCCUCGUUCGAUGUUGCCAGCGCGUUAUGGCGGGGACUCAUCGAAAACUGCCGGGGUCAACUCGGAGGAGGGUGGCGAUGACGUCAAGUCAUCAUGCCCCUUAUGUCCAGGGCUUCACGCAUGCUACAAUGGCCGGUACAAUGGGCUGCGAUAC
rnacentral:rRNA from 1 species